ACGCGGACACGCACACGCGCGCGCGCACCGCCCCCUGAGGGCAGCGGCGCGGCACCGGGCUGCCCCGCAGCGCUCGGCCCGCGGCGGAGGGCGAAGUCGGGCGGUCGGUCGUGAUUCAGCGCUUCUGUUUUUAACCGGCCCGUGCCCGGUUCGGUGUCGCGGGGAUGAAGGGCUCCCAGCGCCGCGCCGGUGCCUCGUUGGGCGUUCGGAGCGAACGUGAGUUGUCAGGAGAGCGUGGAAAGAAGAUAUUUAUCGCAUUAGCCCUGCACGAUCAAGGAGAAGGCUGGCUGUUUGAGGAUGCUUUAUUAAUGAAUGCUAGAGGACAUCUUCACCCCUCCUAAGGUACGAGUGGCUCGUUACUGAAAAAUGCAGGGAGAUAAACAGCCAAGUCCUCUGUCUUCUGUGGCUCUUCAGUAGGUGUGUUACACUUGACAUACGUUAUUUAUGAGCCUCAGAUAGUGCCCAAGGCUAAACCUACCACUGCCAUUAAAAAAUAAAAGCCGAUGUUACCGACAGAGUGUUUCUGCUGCUGGUGGUUUAAUAACACGGGUGUCUUUCACGUGACUUGAAAGGCCCAAUGCGAAGUGCAUCAAAGGAGAGGAUAAUUUUUCUAUUGACUUCAAAGACGGAGCAGCCCUGCGGGGCGAUGCGCACUGCUGGGCUCGGGCAUCAGGCACCCACCUGACUGAAGCCUCCCCAGCAGCCUUGCAAAACACCACAUCCCCACCAAAAACACUUCCCCCUCCAGAAGCAAGCACCUAGCUGUGCUGCCAUCAGAGAAACCCUGCCUUAGGGAUAAAAAUGCCUUUCCUUCUUGCCCUCCAAAUCCUCCAAACCUUCCUCCCUCUCCACUGAGUUCAACUCCCACAUAGAAGAGGGGGGGAACCACCUCGCUAGCAAAUCCCACUCUGUGUUAAACUAUCAGAUGCAUUUAUACCCAUGGUGCUCCCAGUCCAGUUGUGGCUGACCGGAGGGCAAGCCUGCCAUUAGAGCCAUACAGUGACCCUAUCACCACUGUAUACCGUCAUACAGAACCUUUGUCACUCUAACCAAGGGGAGUAGAAGGGGCAGGAGAGAAUUGCUGGCAUCAGCCAAAAAAACCCUUGGCUCAAAAGCAAGCUCUCUGGUACAGGAAGGUGUCACAGAAUACAAGAUACCCUCCUGCAGUGGCUCCCUGAGCAAAACUGCUUGUAAAAUGAGUCUGCUGAGAGCACCCCCCACUCCUGGCGUGCUCUGGCUGCUUGCUGCCAACACAUUGCAGGCGCCCUGCAAAGUGCUGCUCACUUGCUCUGCAGUUGCUUGUGACAGCUUGGUUUGCAUGGGAAGAGGGAACGAAAGGGCUCUUCUGAAGAAGAGGAGCUUCCUGCAGCCCAUGCCGCCUCGCUCGUCCUUUUCUUUUGCUCAGAGAGAUGAUCCCAAACCUGCUGGGCUCAUCCCUGUGCACCAGGCAUGAGCACACGCAUGGGUUAACCCAGGCCUCCCUCCCUAAAACAGAGAGAAACUUGUUUUCCCCAGCACGAAACUCCUGUCGCAUACGGGCACGCAGACAGUCAUUUUAAUGACUAUACGCUGUUGUAAUGUUAGCAGAUAUUUUAAAGAGCAUAUCGCUCCAACAGAAGCCACUGCCAUCUGUGCUUCCCCAAUUAGGAAUGCAAGCAAAUAUGUAUUUUUACAGUAACAUCAAUAAAAUGUAACGC
rnacentral:lncRNA from 7 species